AGAGUUUGAUCCUGGCUCAGGAUGAACGCUGGCGGCGUGCUUAACACAUGCAAGUCGAACGGGAAUGCCACGCUGAUGCGAUUUCGGUCAAUCAUGUGGCAUUCGAGUGGCGGACGGGUGAGUAACGCGUGGGUAACCUGCCUUACACAGGGGGAUAACACCUGGAAACAGGUGCUAAUACCGCAUAAGCGCACAGGGCCGCAUGGCCCGGUGUGAAAAACUCCGGUGGUGUAAGAUGGACCCGCGUCUGAUUGGCUUGUUGGCGGGUAGGGGCCCACCAAGGCGACGAUCAGUAGCCGGCCUGAGAGGGUGGACGGCCACAUUGAGACUGAGACACGGCCCAAACUCCUACGGGAGGCAGCAGUGGGGGAUAUUGGACAAUGGGGGAAACCCUGAUCCAGCGACGCCGCGUGAGUGAAGAAGUAUUUCGGUAUGUAAAGCUCUGUCAGCAGGGAAGAAAGAAAUGACGGUACCUGACCAAGAAGCCCCGGCUAACUACGUG
rnacentral:rRNA from 1 species